CCUGGCGACCAUAGAGACAUGGUACCACCUGAUCCCAUCCCGAACUCAGAAGUGAAACGUGUCAUCGCCGAUGGUAGUUUGGGGUUUCCCCAUGCGAGAGUAGGUCAUCGCCAGGC
rnacentral:rRNA from 3 species